GACGAACGCUGGCGGCGUGCUUAACACAUGCAAGUCGAACGGAAAGGCCCUGCUUUUGUGUGGUGCUCGCGUGGCGAACGUGUGAGUAACACGUGAGUAACCUUCCCUUGACUUUGGGAUAACUUCAGGAAACUGGGGCUAAUACCUGCUAGGAGCUCCUGCUGCAUGGUGGGGGUUGGAAAGUUUCGGCGGUUGGGGAUGGACUCGCGGCUUAUCAGCUUGUUGGUGGGGUAGUGGCUUACCAAGGCUUUGACGGGUAGCCGGCCUGAGAGGGGGACCGGCCACAAUGGGACUGAGAUACGGCCCAGACUCCUACGGGAGGCAGCAGUGGGGAAUAUUGCACAAUGGGCGGAAGCCUGAUGCAGCAACGCCGCGUGCGGGAUGAAGGCCUUCGGGUUGUAAACCGCUUUCGCCUGUGACGAAGCGUGAGUGACGGUAAUGGGUAAAGAAGCACCGGCUAACUACGUG
rnacentral:rRNA from 1 species